UGGAAAGUAAAAAAAGCGUAACAAGGUUUCCGUAGGUGAACCUGCGGAAGGAUCAUUACCUAGAGUUGUAGGCUUUGCCUGCUAUCUCUUACCCAUGUCUUUUGAGUACCUUACGUUUCCUCGGUGGGUCCGCCCACCGAUUGGACAAAUUUAAACCCUUUGCAGUUGAAAUCAGCGUCUGAAAAAACUUAAUAGUUACAACUUUCAACAACGGAUCUCUUGGUUCUGGCAUCGAUGAAGAACGCAGCGAAAUGCGAUAAGUAGUGUGAAUUGCAGAAUUCAGUGAAUCAUCGAAUCUUUGAACGCACAUUGCGCCCCUUGGUAUUCCAUGGGGCAUGCCUGUUCGAGCGUCAUUUGUACCUUCAAGCUCUGCUUGGUGUUGGGUGUUUGUCUCCUGUAGACUCGCCUUAAAACAAUUGGCAGCCGGCGUAUUGAUUUCGGAGCGCAGUACAUCUCGCGCUUUGCACUCAUAACGACGACAUCCAAAAGUACAUUUUUACACUCUUGACCUCGGAUCAGGUAGGGAUACCCGCUGAACUUAAGCAUAUCAAA
rnacentral:rRNA from 1 species